CGAAUGCUGACAUAAGUAACGAUAAAGCGGGUGAAAAGCCCGCUCGCCGGAAGACCAAGGGUUCCUGUCCAACGUUAAUCGGGGCAGGGUGAGUCGACCCCUAAGGCGAGGCCGAAAGGCGUAGUCGAUGGGAAACAGGUUAAUAUUCCUGUACUUGGUGUUACUGCGAAGGGGGGACGGAGAAGGCUAUGUUGGCCGGGCGACGGUUGUCCCGGUUUAAGCGUGUAGGCUGGUUUUCCAGGCAAAUCCGGAAAAUCAAGGCUGAGGCGUGAUGACGAGGCACUACGGUGCUGAAGCAACAAAUGCCCUGCUUCCAGGAAAAGCCUCUAAGCAUCAGGUAACAUCAAAUCGUACCCCAAACCGACACAGGUGGUCAGGUAGAGAAUACCAAGGCGCUUGAGAGAACUCGGGUGAAGGAACUAGGCAAAAUGGUGCCGUAACUUCGGGAGAAGGCACGCUGAUAUGUAG
rnacentral:rRNA from 1 species